CAAUGGUCCAUCUCCCCCAGUAUUCUGUCUUCCAACAGUGGCCAAUGCCAGGUGCUUCAGAGGGAAUGGACAGGACAGGCAAUUAUCGAGUGAGCCAUCCC